rnacentral:snRNA from 1 species
UUAGGGGAUUAAGCCCUUUUGU